GGCCGCCUGGCGAAAUGGCAUCGCGUCUGACUACGACGGACUUACGUAACUACGUAUCAGGAGAUUGCAGGUUCGACCCCUGCGGUGGUCA